GGACUGCAUAAAUAAGCAAUGUGCUAUGAGGCUUCAGACCAGCCGAUAAAACCUUUCAAUUUUCAUGCCAGCUUCUUCUUUUGUAAUUCAAAUCCGCCUGGAAACUGGCAGCUCUGAAAACUGAAACAAGCACUGCCACAAAUACCUUGUAAUGCUAUCGACCUUGUCUGCCCAUGCAGUGAGAAAGGGGGAUGCGUAUGUGUCUGCAGCCAUCCAGAUAACACAACUCAUUUUUUUUGGGGGGGGGGGGGAAAAGAACACAUAAAUGUGUAAAUCCAUGGACAUUUUAUCUGAAUGUUUAUUGGGCUAGACUAUAAAACACAGAAAUCACACUAAUAUACAUCUUCCAACCAUACAAAAUGCUUAACAUAUUCAAAUCUGCUACUAUAUUUUGCAUGUGAUUGUACAUGAACCCCAAUAAAAAAAUUAUAAAAGAAUAGAACCAUAGCUCUAUUACGUUUAUUAGCUAAUACAUGGGGGAUCCAAAUAAACCCCAAGAUUUUCAUUUUUACCAUAACUCCACAUGACUUACAACACAUGGCCCUCCCACCACCUGCCAUCCCAACUCUGCUUAUUCCACUGUAAUACUCUUAACCAUCGAUCACAAAGGCAGGGAAUUCCACAGCUGCAAGGACCUGUUAGAAGGGGGAAGUAAUGUUCUUUUGCUUUUACAAUAUGUUCCAUCUGAGCCUUUGCUUGUCUUAAAACAAGGAACAAACAUGAAAUAGGAAUGCUCUUUGAAAGAAUACAAACUGCAUGUACUGAUAAAGUGCUUAAGUUUGAGUUGCCUUUUUCGCUGGACGUAUCUGAGAAUACAGCUGGAAGUCUGCAGAACUGAC
rnacentral:lncRNA from 10 species